UACGAAGGGGGCUAGCGUUGCUCGGAAUCACUGGGCGUAAAGCGCACGUAGGCGGCUUCUUAAGUCAGGGGUGAAAUCCUGGAGCUCAACUCCAGAACUGCCUUUGAUACUGAGGAGCUUGAGUCCGGGAGAGGUGAGUGGAACUGCGAGUGUAGAGGUGAAAUUCGUAGGUAUUCGCAAGAACACCAGUGGCGAAGGCGGCUCACUGGCCCGGUACUGACGCUGAGGUGCGAAAGCGUGGGGAGCAAACAGG
rnacentral:rRNA from 1 species